GGAAGUUAAGAAACUGUUUCUUAACUUUUAACUAAAAGAACCAAGAACUGGUUCUUAAAUAAGGACUUUAAGAACCGGUUCUUAAUUUUUUUAGUUAAAAGUUAAAAAAUAAUUUUUUAACUUCC
rfam:Brassica oleracea var. oleracea cultivar TO1000 chromosome C5, whole genome shotgun sequence